AACGGUCGUGGCGAUGGGUCCCGCCCUCAACCGCCCCUCGAGGCUGAUGGUCCCUACGUCGUU
rnacentral:ncRNA from 2 species